ACCCGGUCCCAUUUCGAACCCGGUCGUUAAGCUUUCCAGCGCCGAUGGUACUGCCUCCAUGGUGCGGGGUGGGAGAGUAGGUCGCCGCCGGAC
rnacentral:rRNA from 1 species